UUGGAGGGCAAGUCUGGUGCCAGCAGCCGCGGUAAUUCCAGCUCCAAUAGCGUAUAUUAAAGUUGUUGCAGUUAAAAAGCUCGUAGUUGAAUUUCGGGGUUCUACCGUCGGUCGGGCUACCAAGUCUGUACUGGUGUGUAGAAUUUCUACCUUCUGGGGAACCAUCAUGUUAUUAAUUUAGCGUGGUGGGAAACCAGGACCUUUACCUUGAAAAAAUUAGAGUGUUCAAAGCAGGCUUACGUCUGAAUACAUUAGCAGGGAAUAAUAAAAUAGGACGGUGGUCCUGUUUUGUUGGUUUCUGAAUCACCGUAAUGAUUAAUAGGGAUAGUUGGGGGCAUUAGUAUUCAAUUGUCAGAGGUGAAAUUCUUGGAUUUAUUGAAGACCAACUUCUGCGAAAGCAUUUGCCAAGGAUGUUUUCAUUAAUCAAGAACGAAAGUUAGGGGAUCGAAGACGAUCAGAUACCGUCGUAGUCUUAACCAUAAACUAUGCCGACUAGGGAUCGGACGAUGUUAAAUUUUAUUGACUCGUUCGGCGCCUUACGGGAAAC
rnacentral:rRNA from 1 species